GAAGCCUUCAGGCUCCUUGGUGGGACAGUUUCCUUGGGCCGUCCUUUCAUGAACCUCCAAGGUCCAGCGUCUUCGUGAGAGCCCCUCAGUCCAGGGUCCAGGGAGUCCGCCGCCCUCAGGCUACUCCCUGGGUCUGUUCCCCGAGCCUGGCUACUCUGCAGACUCCGAGCUCCAG